GCCUGAUAAUCGGAUUAUAAUUUGGAAGCGUUCAGGUUUGCCAACAUCACGCUGUGAGUCUAUUUUGUAUACGUUGGAAUUUUUUGUAUCUGUUUUUGGUGAAACUGUGUUCGGUGUGUUCUGGUGGUCACAGUGAGUGAAUGUCCCGAUGAAAGUCUUAACGCGUUUGAUUGAGAUUUUGCUCUUCUCUGAUUAUUUUUGAUAAAAUCACUGCAUGACACAUUUGAUGCUGCACUUGUGUUGCAUUAAUGGUUGUGAUCGUGAAGAUUUGACACCAUGUUGGCUGAUUUUUGAUAAUCUGCUGGUUUUUGUGUGUUGCUCUUGUUUCCUCUUUGUGUUUUAUUUGAAAUGUUCACUGACAUGUAAAAUGUUUAAAAGACGAAAAAGUAAAAAAAAACGGAAUCAGAACGUCUUGCGCGUGCGUCUGUGUUUAUAGAGCGCGCGCGGUUGUCAUGGUGACAGGUCCAUGGAUCCAGGAAGAGACGCGGCGCGUCUCACCGGCUUCACCUCAGAAAAAUGACCAUCAUUUGAUCAAAUACUCAAGUAAAUCAUCAUAAUAUCAUCGCAUAUUAUCAACGAUUGUGUUAAUUUUAUGAAAUGUUUAUAAAAUUUUGACCGGUUGGUGAUAAGUGACGGAACUAACUACAUUAUGCAAAUGAGCUAUGCCGUAUGCAAAUGAGGACAGACUCGCGUAAGUAGCAUGUCCACCAGCAAUCUGCCGCCCUUGAGAAACUUACCCAGCUGGUCCAGGGUCAGAGAUCUGGACAGGGUGAGAUACCCCAGACUUCUGUCUAGCGACUGUAUGGUCAGAUGUCCAUCUGUGAACAUCAAGAGUCCGAAAGCAGCUGCUCGGCCCUGUGUGGAUGAAGAUGGGAAACGCAUCACAUCUUUGCAGAAAGACAUUCUGUUCCUUCAACAACAACACAAAGACACGCUGGAGAGACUGCAUGCUGAAAUCGAUCAUCUGAAGCGUGUUAAUAAAGAAUUACAAUAUCAGUUGGUUAUGGAGCAUCAGCAUUCUCCGAAAGGUCAGCUAGAUUUUAAAUCAGCAAACAUUCCUACAGAUUCUGUCCGGUCCUACAGUAACACCUCAAAAUCCACCAGCGAGGAGAAGAAUUCUCAGUGUGGAUCCAUUAGCUCUGAGGAGGUGCGCGAGGAGGCCGCGGGGUCUGUCGGAGGCGCCGUCACAUCUCUGCUUCCUCUGAGGAUCACCUGCAGUCCGUCUCAGCAUCCUCGCACACCGACCAAGAGCGAGUGUGAGGUCAUCAUCCGUCAGCUUCAUCACGCCAACAUCUCACAGUAUCAGGAGCUUGUGCAGGUCAAGAAUAUUCUCAGAGACGUUGUGUUGAACAAAAAGAAAUCGUCCGUCGAAGCUGUUUCUCUGGCAAGGGCCUGUCUCUGUGACAACACCAGGACUGAUGCUUAUCAACGUUUUCCAAAGCUACCUCUCAAAUCACUGCCAAAAAAACAACAUCCCAGCCAGAGCAACAGAGAAGAAACUCUUGAGAAAUUUCUGCCAGCCAUCAAACGCAACUUCAGCAGCAGCAUGUCAGAACGGCAAAGAAAAGCUCAAGACGUGCACAAGAUGCGGUUUAGAAGAACUGUGAAUUUUGAUAUUAAACGUGACUUAUAAAGUCCAACUACUAUUCUAGAGGAUGAGUGAGUCGAGUCGGUGUCUGUGUCGCCUAAUGAACUAAAUAAGAAACUUUCCAGAGUUGCAGCCAAACGUCCAGGACGAGAUGAGAACUAAGCUGCUCAUUUAUCUAAACACAGGAUCUGAC